GGGGCCUACGGGAGGCAGCAGUGGGGAAUAUUGGGCAAUGGAGGAAACUCUGACCCAGCGACGCCGCGUGCGGGAUGAAGGCCUUCGGGUUGUAAACCGCUUUCAGUAGGGAAGAAGCGAAAGUGACGGUACCUACAGAAGAAGCACCGGCUAACUAUGUGCCAGCAGCCGCGGUAAUACAUAGGGUGCAAGCGUUGUCCGGAAUUAUUGGGCGUAAAGAGCUCGUAGGUGGUUCGAUACGUCGGAUGUGAAAAUCAGGGGCUCAACCCCUGACCUGCAUCCGAUACGGUCGAGCUGGAGUUUGGUAGGGGAGACUGGAAUUCCUGGUGUAGCGGUGGAAUGCGCAGAUAUCAGGAGGAACACCGAUGGCGAAGGCAGGUCUCUGGGCCAAUACUGACACUGAGGAGCGAAAGUGUGGGGAGCGAACAGGAUUAGAUACCCUGGUAGUCCACACAGUAAACGAUGGGCACUAGUUGUGGGAACCUUCCACGGUUUCUGCGACGCAGCUAACGCAUUAAGUGCCCCGCCUGGGGAGUACGAUCGCAAGAUUAAAACUCAAAGGAAUUGACGGGG
rnacentral:rRNA from 1 species